UCGGCUGUUCGGAUAUUGGGCGUAAGGGCUCGCAGGCGGUUUCUUAGUCUGAUGUGAAAGCCCCCGGCUCAACCGGGGAGGGUCAUUGGAAACUGGGAAACUUGAGUGCAGAAGAGGAGAGUGGAAUUCCACGUGUAGCGGUGAAAUGCGUAGAGAUGUGGAGGAACACCAGUGGCGAAGGCGACUCUCUGGUCUGUAACUGACGCUGAGGAGCGAAAGCGUGGGGAGCGAACAGGAUUAGAUACCCUGGUAGUCCACGCCGUAAACGAUGAGUGCUAAGUGUUAGGGGGUUUCCGCCCCUUAGUGCUGCAGCUAACGCAUUAAGCACUCCGCCUGGGGAGUACGGUCGCAAGACUGAAACUCAAAGGAAUUGACGGGGGCCCGCACAAGCGGUGGAGCAUGUGGUUUAAUUCGAAGCAACGCGAAGAACCUUACCAGGUCUUGACAUCCUCUGACAACCCUAGAGAUAGGGCUUUCCCUUCGGGAACAGAGUGACAGGUGGUGCAUGGUUGUCGUCAGCUCGUGUCGUGAGAUGUUGGGUUAAGUCCCG
rnacentral:rRNA from 1 species